AGAAGAAAAGAAAGAAAGGAAAAAAGGAAAAGGAGAAAGAAAGGAAAAGAGAUUGAAGGAAGGAAUAUGUUUGCAAGCCAAUAUUUUUGAAUUGAGAAGGCUACUUACAUUAAGGAGAUGACGAGAAGAUUGAAAUCAUGAUUAGUCCAUAACUUGGUGAGUGGAUAUAAAAAAAAUUAUUUUUCAGAUAUUAGUAUUUAUUAUUAUUUCAUACAGUUGAUUUUG